CAGAAUAGAAAGGAUGCUCAUAAAAUAUGGCUGUCAGUUAGCUAGCUGUAGAGUUUCAGCUAGCUGUCCCUAAUAAAGUGGUGACAGUGUCUGCAGGUGGCUCGCUGAUGGGAGGAAGACGCUGCUGAAGCUCGCCGUGGAAACCUCCGGGGGGGUCGAUGCUCGUCACGUUUCAUCGAAACACGGGACUCUCCUGGAUCAUGUCACCAUCACAUACGUUUGUGUUCUGACCACCAGCUUGAAUUAUUUCAACUUUGUUUCUGACGAAUCAGAUGUUUUCUGUCGGUCUGGUGGACGGCUCUAAAUACUACAAUACCCAUGAGGCUCGGCUGCUGUUGCUACGGAGAAGAAGCCAGUCAGAGGUGUGAAUCAUCUUUAGCGGCGCGCACAACAGAAUGUGAAGCUCUGUGAUUGGCUGUUUGUCAGUGAACUGCACCUUGGGAGUCGUAGUUGACUUUGUCCACAGGCUACUUGUACCUUUUCUGUUUCUGAUGAUUCAACCAGGAGACUAGGUAACUGUUGCCCUAGCAACUGCUACAAAAGCCCUAGCAACCACAUAGCAACCAGCAGGAAACGUACCACCAACCACUUCAGCAACCAACUAGCUACCACUUAGACAACACUUCUAACACCUUAGCAACUACUUAGCAUCAGUCUACUACACAUCUAACAAUUAGCAUAGGAAACAUUAGCAACCAGCUAACAACCAGGUAGCUUGUACCUGGAACAAGCAACAAGCACAUUUAAAGUUUCUUCAGAAAUGUUAUAGUUAUUGUUGAAUAAAGUAUUUUAAGAGUUUUAAUUCAUUUCAUCUGUUCAUGUUCUCAGUGGUCAGUAUUCAGGCCUUCAGGCCAACACACACAGAGCCUCCAUUUAACUCCAACACAUGGAAACCAUUGAUCAAUGCCUCUGUGUGUGUGUGUGUGUGUGUGUGUGUGUGUGUGUGUGUGUGUGUGUGUGUGUGUGUGUGCUUC